UAGCAGGUUAUUAAGCUGAAGCUAUUGGGCAUAACCAGAGAGGCGUGCCAAGAAUACCCCCUCUCAUCAUCGUCUCCUUCCCCCUUUGUUGUCUGCACCCGAACCGCCCACCUCUUCUUCGCGUCUCCACUCCGUCGUCCUCACCUCGAUCUCCCUCUUCCUCACACCGCCGCGACGACAAGCCGAGAUCCGAGGCUCGCCUCCAGUGGAGCUCGACCGAGCCCUACAUCUCAGCAUCCGGGUGCUUUCUUCUAGCGCUUCACGCGGACGGCGGAAUAAGAUUCGUGAACGACGAAUCGGGCAAUCCUUCCCUUUUGCUGAAUCCUCCGGGCGUUUGAAUUCGUGUCCUACUUUGGAUUUGGAUUUUCCGUCGUUUCCGGGUUUGAGACUCAAGCAAAAUAGGCAGGAUUUGGUCCUCGACUUGAAGGAAGUCCUGAACUUCUCGGAAUCGGACUCGACGGUUCGCAUUCCAGAACUUCGAGCUGAAUUUCCGAGAGAUUUGUCUUUUCUCGCGUUCAACGAGGAUUAGAGCCCCAAUUAGGCUUGAUCGGAGGCGUUCAGCAACGAUUGGAGGAUGAGGAUGCCAGUGCCGCCAGGGGCGGCCCAGCACCAGCUGUACUCGGUGCCGCCCACAGGUCAUGGGAACAGCAAAUGUGGGUGAGAGACCCAGUUUGAGUUUCACAUUUCCAGUAGUAGCAAGCAGGCCUUACUAUCCUUUUGAAUGACAUUCACCAGAAGAGGAAGGAACUCGGUAUUAACUUUCUGUCCGCAUGUACUGAUACAAAGCACUUAUUCCACACACGCAAUCCUCUCAUUUCUGAGCAUACUGUGGCGCACAUCAAGAUCUAUGGGGGAAACAGAUUUACUGCACCUCAACCCUUCCAUUCUAGCAUUUUACUACCAUCCAAGAUUCAGGAAUGGAUUAGUUGGACACAAAUAAAGGCGUUUUGUGUCCUGGGUAGCACUCGAUGAAAUCUUUGUCAAUUGUUCAUUUUGAUAAUUAUUUAUAUUCUUCUUCGUGGAAUCAAAGACGCAUGCCCUGCAGUCACUGGUCGGCAAAGUUUAAAGGGCCAAAGGAUCUGCUGCAAUUCGUAACGCUCAUUGGAAGUGGCUUGCCGCUAGGUCUGAAGAGUUGGUCUUCAUCCAGACUGCAGUUUGUGGUGUGGUUUUUUCUAAUUCCUCAGCUGCAGACAAGAUUGUAUGCACAGAAUCUUUAAAUAGUUGCUUUGACUCUUUUGUUGCUGGGGAAAUUGUCAGAAUGCUGAUGUUGACUGGCACAAACUUGUGUGGUGCUCCCCUAAUGUGCCAAGAUUUGGCUUCAAUUCAAGAGGAUUAACAGUUGGUCUGUUGGGAAUACAAGAUCUCUCUGCUUCUUUUGUAAUC